rnacentral:rRNA from 1 species
UUGUUCUAAUUAAAGAAAUCCUUUUCCGAUGCUAUGUUAUAGCAGUAAUUACAUCUUCGCUAGCAUGAAAUAUUGGUUUAAUCUAAGAAAUUAGCUCCAGCCCAGGAAUACUUACUGGGGGCCAAACAGGUGCCAGCAGCCGCGGUCAUACCUGUCCCUAAAGAUUUCCCUUAGAAACCUUACUUAGGUAAUCUUUUUUAAAGAUAGUGAAAUAUUUUAAAAAUUGAAAGGUCCUACUUCCUAAUAUUUUCCAGAAAAAUCAAAAAUAGAAACUAGGAUUAGAUACCCUACUAUCCAGAUGAUUAUUAUUUCUAAGCAGUAAUCCCUCAAGGCCGAAACUUAAAGAACAUGGCGGCAAGAGAAAACUUCAGGGGAACUUACCAGAUAAUAGAUAACCCACAAGAGGAUCUUACUUGUUUUAAUUUAGCUUGUAUACCACCGUCCAGGGCUUACUUGAAGUGAUCCCGAGAUUCAAAGAAAGCAGACAGGUUAUAGUACAGCCCAUGAAUAAGACAUAAGGUGAGUUACCAAUUUUAAGGUGCUUAGUGAAACGAGCCCUGCCCAAAAGGACUUGAAAGUAAAAAUUAACAAAUAUUCGUUUUGAAUUUAGCUUCUCUCGUGCACAAAUCGCCCGUCACUCUCCNNUUUAAAAGGAGAUAAGUCGUAACACAGUAGGAGCAACUGAAGUUGUUCCU